rnacentral:rRNA from 1 species
GAUGAACGCUGGCGGCGUGCCUAAUACAUGCAAGUCGAGCGAACAGACGAGGAGCUUGCUCCUCUGACGUUAGCGGCGGACGGGUGAGUAACACGUGGAUAACCUACCUAUAAGACUGGGAUAACUUCGGGAAACCGGAGCUAAUACCGGAUAAUAUAUUGAACCGCAUGGUUCAAUAGUGAAUGACGGUUUUGCUGUCACUUAUAGCUGCAUCCGCGCUGCAUUAGCUAGUUGGUAAGUUAACGGCUUACCAAGGCUACGAUGCGUAGCCGAGCUGAGAGAGUGAUCGGCGACACUGGAACUGAGACACGCUCCAGACGCCUACGGGAGGCAGCAGUAGGGAAUGUUCCGCAAUGGGCGGAAGCCUGACGGAGCAGCGCCGCGUGAGUGAUGAAGGUGUUCGGUUCGUAAAACUCUGUUAUUAGGGAAGAACAAAUGUGUAAGUAACUAUGCACGGCUUGACGGUACCUAAUCAGAAAGCCACGGCUAACUACGUG